rnacentral:rRNA from 1 species
GACGAAGGAUGCAAGCGUUAUCCGGAUUCAUUGGGUUUAAAGGGAGCGUAGGCGGUUUUGUAAGUCAGUGGUGAAAUCUCUUCGCUUAACGAAGAAACUGCCAUUGAUACUGCAGAUCUUGAGUACAGUUGCCGUUGGCGGAAUAUGACAUGUAGUGGUGAAAUACUUAGAUAUGUCAUAGAACACCGAUUGCGAAGGCAGCUAACGAAGCUGUAACUGACGCUGAGGCUCGAAAGUGCGGGGAUCAAACAGG